rnacentral:lncRNA from 1 species
CUGCAAAAUAAAACCAUAAACACUAGCCACUAAACUCUCAAAUCCCUAAGAUAGCUAGUCUAGUGUGUGUUUACCCUUGUCCAUUUUCUCUCCUCUCCUAUUAUUUAAAUCCAAAAAUAAACCUAUUCAUCCGUCUAAAAUCAAUAUCCUGAAUUUGAAAAGCUAUUGUCACUCCUUUAGCAGCAUCUUAUCGAAGACUUUAUCCACUCUUUUAUUAUUAAAUAUGGAUUGUAAAGAGUUUCUUAAGUCCCUGCGUAAGAGAGCAUUUUUGUGAUUUACAACUAAUUGGACUUGAAGAGCUUAUCCGUACU